GGGGGAGUGGGUUGUGGAUCGGGGUUCCAAGAAGUGGGAAUUUGGAGUCCUGGGUUUCCUAGCUGUCUCUCUGCUGUCCCUCGAGCCGGGUCGAACCAGCUGCCCGAGCCCGAAGCCUUCCCAGCUCACCAUUCACAGGCGCCUCGUGGGCUCUUUUCCAUUGGCUUGGAAAGCGCGUUCAAGAAUCAUCGUUCAAUGGACUUGACCCACCGGUUGAGUAAAUGAGAUUCCAAACGCUUCCUGAUCUGGGAGGAUCCCAAGAAGAUCCCAGGGCGAGGGUCCUAGCCGGUCUCGGAGGUCAAGUAUGACUGGCGGAUCGUGGACGCUAGCUUUCCAGGGCCCCACAGGCGAGCCAGCGCAUGAAGACUUGGAAAAUCCUGCUUUCGAGUUCAAAGACAAAGUUGAUCGUUUCCACUUCGUCUACACCACAAGGCAGCUGUGAGUUCGCUAAUAGAGUGGUCUGGUUUCAGGGUUCUAGAACCUUCCCUCUACUCUCCCAGAUCCCAUCCACUGUAAAGCCACGGAGCCUGUAUGAUACAAACACCUAACUACCACCAUCACUACUGCCGCCGCCCGCUGCCAGGGCCCCAAAUCUGAACUCCCUGCGGACUUGCCACAGUA
rnacentral:lncRNA from 1 species